rnacentral:misc_RNA from 1 species
UUCUGGACUGAGAAAUUAACUCAGAGGCACCACUAGAGUAAGCCAGUGAAUGAUGCAUAAUGCAAUAUCACACAAAUGGAAGAGAUUGAAAUUCUCUGUAGUCAAUGGAGAAAAUUCUCCUUCCUUCUGAUUGAACCCUUCUUCACAAGUAGUUGCUGCUUCCAUAACUGCUCUCACUUUCACAUUAGCAAUUCCAUAAUGUCCAGUCAAGAACACAGCGACACCAUCCACCAAUGUCACAAUAGCUUCAGAAUAUAGGUCCAAGCAAUUCUGCAAGCAAGCCAAGGCAAAAGGUUUGAAACUUCCGGUGUUCAACAAGCUCCUUAUGUUUGAAAUGGUGGUGGUUG